rnacentral:rRNA from 1 species
GAACGCUGGCGGCAGGCUCUAAACAUGCAAUUCGGGGCAAGGUAAGCCUUGUUCUUGCAUCCCGGAGCGGCGGACGGGUGAGUAAUGCUUAGGAAUCUGCCUAUUAGUGGGGGACAACAUUUCGAAAGGAAUGCUAAUACCGCAUACGUCCUACGGGAGAAAGCAGGGGAUCUUCGGACCUUGCGCUAAUAGAUGAGCCUAAGUCGGAUUAGCUAGUUGGUGGGGUAAAGGCCUACCAAGGCGACGAUCUGUAGCGGGUCUGAGAGGAUGAUCCGCCACACUGGGACUGAGACACGGCCCAGACUCCUACGGGAGGCAGCAGUGGGGAAUAUUGGACAAUGGGCGGAAGCCUGAUCCAGCCAUGCCGCGUGUGUGAAGAAGGCCUUAUGGUUGUAAAGCACUUUAAGCGAGGAGGAGGCUACUUUAGUUAAUACCUAGAGAUAGUGGACGUUACUCUCACAAUAAGCACCGGCUAACUCUGUGCCAGCACCCACGGUGAUACAGAGGGUGCAAGCGUUAAUCGGAUUUACUGUGCAUAAAACGCGCGUAGGCGGUUGAUUGAGUCCCAUGUGAAAUCCCCGAGCUUAACUUGGGAAAUGCGUUCCCUACUGGGUAGCUAUAGUGUGGGAGAGGGGGUAGAAUUCCAGGUGUAGCGG